AGUGAACGCUGGCGGUAGGCCUAACACAUGCAAGUCGAACGGCAGCACAGUAAGAGCUUGCUCUUACGGGUGGCGAGUGGCGGACGGUUGAGGAAUACAUCGGAAUCUACUUUUUCGUGGGGGAUAACGUAGGGAAACUUACGCUAAUACCGCAUACGACCUACGGGUGAAAUCAGGGGAUCUUCGGACCUUGCGCGAUUGAAUGAGCCGAUGUCGGAUUAGCUAGUUGGCGGGGUAAAGGCCCACCAAGGCGACGAUCCGUAGCUGGUCUGAGAGGAUGAUCAGCCACACUGGAACUGAGACACGGUCCAGACUCCUACGGGAGGCAGCAGUGGGGAAUAUUGGACAAUGGGCGCAAGCCUGAUCCAGCCAUACCGCGUGGGUGAAGAAGGCCUUCGGGUUGUAAAGCCCUUUUGUUGGGAAAGAAAAGCAGCAGGCUAAUACCCCGCUGUUCUGACGGUACCCAAAGAAUAAGCACCGGCUAACUUCGUG
rnacentral:rRNA from 1 species